AAGACUAUACUUUCAGGGAUCAUUUCUAUAGUUCUUAACUAGGAAAUGUGUUUCGAAAGUGAUGCGUCUCCCAAACCACGAUGAUGAGCUUUGAUGCUUUUCUCUGAGCGUGAAUCGGAUGUAGAGUAAUGAUUCAAUUCAUAUGCUUUACGUCAUUGAUGAACGUUCCUCAAUGUGAUUUCACAGAGAGGAGGAGAAGAGCAUGAACAGAGUGGU
ensembl:snoRNA U3 Small nucleolar RNA U3